UACGUAGGGUGCAAGCGUUUGUCCGGAAUUAUUGGGCGUAAAGAGCUCGUAGGCGGUUCGUCGCGUCGGCUGUGAAAACCCGGAGCUCAACUCCGGGCCUGCAGUCGAUACGGGCGGACUUGAGUGUUGCAGGGGAGACUGGAAUUCCUGGUGUAGCGGUGAAAUGCGCAGAUAUCAGGAGGAACACCGGUGGCGAAGGCGGCUUUCUGGACGACAACUGACGCUGAGACGCGAAAGCGUGGGAGAAGCAAGAUGAUAGACCGAC
rnacentral:rRNA from 1 species